rnacentral:rRNA from 1 species
UACGAAGGGUGCAAGCGUUACUCGGAAUUACUGGGCGUAAAGCGUGCGUAGGUGGUGAGUUAAGUCUGUCGUGAAAGCCCCGGGCUCAACCUGGGGAUUGCAUUCGAUACUGCGAUAGCUAGAGUCUGGUAGGGGAUCACGGAAUUCCUGGUGUAGCGGUGAAAUGCGCAGAUAUCGGGAGGAACACCAGUGGCGAAGGCGACUACCUGGCCUGUUCUUGACGCGUGAGGCGCGAAAGCUAGGGGAGCAAACGGG